GAUCAGGUCAUCCCCAAUUUAACAUCUCAGUGAUCCAAACUCCAGUCUCAGCAUCAGUUCCUUCAGGACAGCGAGUGAAUCUGCAGUGCUCCGUCUACCCUGAGAACCAAUCAGCAGAACUGAGAGUCUUCUGGUUCAGAUCUGCUGCAGGAUCAUCCUCUCCUGAAAUCAUCCACACUCAUAACUUCAGCAGGAGCAGCCGUCAGUGUGUGUACAACUUCUCCAAGAUCAUCACCGAUGAGAGCGAUACUGGAACUUUCUACUGCGCUGUGGCCACCUGUGGGAGGAUCAUUGUCGGGAAUGGAACACCAGUGAACUUGAAGGGGCCUGCAGAUCCCACUGUGAUCAUUCUGGGAGCUGCUGUGGGAGUGUGUGUGGUUGUGAUCAUCGCUCAGGCCAUUGUGUUUUAUAAAAGAAGAAACAGCGAACAAAGCAGUGGAAGAUCUACCAACAGUGAGCAGCCGUGGUCUGCAG